CUCCUCACAGCUCCAUUCUCUGGGGCUAGCCAACUUCUCCCUCCUACGGUCAUCCCUCUUGUAAUCAGGGCUAGACACCCUCUCCCUCCUGCGAUCAUCCCUCUUAUAGUCCGGGCUAAGCCUGGCUCUCUUGUAAGGACUCGGGCUGCGUCUUCCUCUGCCAUAUUCAGGACUAGUCCUCUCCUUCCUGUGUGCAACUGGACUAGCACCACGGCCAUAGUCAGGACUUCCUCUUUCUCUCCUGUAAGGACUCGGUGAUCGCCUUCUCCUGUCAGGUGACCUAUCACGACGUCUUUCAGGACUG
rnacentral:lncRNA from 1 species